rnacentral:rRNA from 1 species
UACGUAGGGGGCUAGCGUUGUCCGGAAUUAUUGGGCGUAAAGAGCUUGUAGGCGGUCUGUCGCGUCUGCUGUGAAAAUCCGGGGCUCAACCCCGGACUUGCAGUGGGUACGGGCAGACUAGAGUGUGGUAGGGGAGACUGGAAUUCCUGGUGUAGCGGUGAAAUGCGCAGAUAUCAGGAGGAACACCGGUGGCGAAGGCGGGUCUCUGGGCCGAUACUGACGCUGAGGAGCGAAAGCGUGGGGAGCGAACAGG